rnacentral:tRNA from 1 species
GCGACUUCGGUUAGCUCAGUGGUUAGAGCGUGACACUUGUAUGUUCCCCGUUUUUGGGAAACAACGAUAUGUCAAGGUCGCUGGUUCGAUUCCGGUACUUCGCG